GACGAACGCUGGCGGCGUGCUUAACACAUGCAAGUCGAACGGAGUGGCGAACGGGUGAGUAACACGUGGGUGACCUGCCCUGCACUUCGGGAAAAGCCUGGGGAACUGGGUGCAAUACCGGCAAGUGGGGGAUGGGCCCGCGGCCUAUCAGCUUGUUGGGGGGGUAAUGACAUCCGAAGGCGGCGACGGGUAGCCGGCCGGAGAGGUUGGACGGCCACAAUGGGACUGAGGCAGGGCCCAGACUGCUACGGGGGGCAACAGUGGGGAAUAUGGCGCAGUGAGGGGAAGCGUGAUGCAGAGGCGCCGGGUGGGGAAUGACGGCCUUCUGGGUGUAAACGCCUUUAUCCUUCUACGCGGUAGAUGGAGAAGAAGCACCGGCUAACUCCGUGCCAGCAGCCGCGGUAAUUC
rnacentral:rRNA from 1 species